CUGAGAACUCGGUUAAUUAAUUGGGAUCGCCCAAGCCGCCGGCCCCCGGGGAGCUCCCCGGGGGGGACGCGGGGUGCCCGUGAGCGGUCACCGGGAUACGAGAGAGGCGUUAGCGGGGGAAGGACCCGGCAGCGCCCGGCCCCGCUCACAGCGGAGGGGCAGGGCCCGGCCCCCGGCCCCCGGCCCCCGGCCCCGGCCCCCCCCGGGCGCUGCCCCGGGCAGGGCCGCAGCAGGCCGCAGGAGGCCCCAGUAGGCCGCAGACCCCGCGCCCGUUGCCACGGCAACGCGCCUCGCCCAGGUGCGGAGCCCCCCGGGAGCAGCCGCUCGGCAUCACGGGACAGCGAGUCCGCAACCGCCUUGUCUUCAUCACCGCGCCGCGGCGGCGGACCACAACUCCCACAACCCCCUGGGGCAGCGCGGCCCCCUCCCCUUCCUCUACGCCCCUCGCUUCCAUUGGCUCCGCCGCGACGCCGAGCGGCCGCACGGCGGCUGCCGAUUGGCGGAAACGCGGCGGGGCCGAAGCGCUGCCUAUGGCGGCCGAGCGGGCGGUGGGGGAGCGCGGCCGCCAUUUUGUGUGCGCGGAGGCCGGCGCCGGGCCUCGGUGCCCGCCGCGGCGGGGCCGAUGGACCAAAAGCUGCCUGCUUGUUGGAAGGCUGUUGGGCACUGGCCUCAUCGGUGAGCGCUGUAAAAACUCUUCCUUGUACAGGUUAACUCCCUGUUACACAGCUUCUCCUUUAAAAAGAAAUACUGCUUAUAUCGCAAUACAACACCAUCGUCGGGAUAGCCAGAACAGCUGCCGUUUUCAGGGAACUGGCCUGCUGUUGCGCUGCUUUGUGUUUGCGCUGAAGAAUGGCCGCGCCUGAAGCCAGGUGCUCGGCUCUGCGCUGGGGCAGGUUGGUGCUGCUCCGAGUGCAAUGCCUCCUGCUGGACUCAGUGCCGUCGGGCACAGCCCUGCCCCAGAAGAACACGGGACUGCCCCUCGCAGCGCAGUUGCUGAGAGAAUAAAAUCUCAGCUGGACAAACA
rnacentral:lncRNA from 1 species